CGAACCGAAGCCUUAACGCAGCACCCAGCAACAUUCUCACGCUCAUAUAGUCGCCGAAACGUCCAUGCAGGGACCCGAAAGAAACAGACCGCACCGCACCGAGAAGGCCACAGCCAUGCGGGACCCUUAGCCGUAGUGCCGCUGCAACACCACGUUCCACCCGACAGAGUGAUACCACCAGAUCUGGACCUCUCGCAGGCUGCCUCGCAGUCACCACCACAAUAAUACAAACGCGUGAGGGCCUUACCACACUCGCUGUUGGACUCUACCUCACUCUCGUCGCCUCAAAGAAAUACAUGGGGCACACGAUGGAGACCGUGCUCGACUCCGGCGAGUAGGUGAGCUCGCCGGCCAUUGGUGGAAGGCGCGCAGGACCUCCGCAACGGACGACCUAAGCGCGUCGACGACGUCCGGGAAGGCGACGGGUGUCGGGUGGCGGCGGCGCGGGAAAGAGGAAGACGCGGCAGUGCGGUGCCAGCUCGAUCCAGCGCGUGUCGAAUGGGGAGAGUGGCACCGCCCGGCGGCCUUGCGCCGCCGGCGGUGGCGCUUCGCCGGUGGGGUGAGCGAGACGGUGGCGACGCGCCUCGUGCGCACGGCAGACGCCAUAUUGAUCUCGACGUACACAGAUAGCGAGGUACGGUGGCGCAGUUUGGCUGGACUCGGUUCUUGGCGUUGUGCAAGGUCGCAGUGCUUCUGAAAUAUGCCUUGAGCAUCGUGAGAAGUGGCUUUGAGCUAGUUGGGCAGAUGCUUACACUUGAUUCGAUAUGAUGAUGAUCGGUGACAAUUUUAUUUGAUAAAUUAUGAUUUUUGUUGAAGUCUGAGAAAACUGUUUUUAAUCGAACUACCAUGGUCCAUGCAUUGUUCCAUCGAAAAAUGAGCCAUUGCAUUUGCUUUGACGGUUUGGAUGGAUGAGAUGAGGUGGCAGAGCAAAUCAACCAAUCAUAUUGAUAACAUGUGGCGCAAUUUGAUUAGAGGGACAUAUGGAUAAUUAAUUAGUUUGAAUCUAAACUUGAAAUGCAUUUUUCUCCUCUUAAAAACUCAAGCUAUUUUCAAAUCCGUUUCAAACACCCCGUUAGUUGGAAUAAGUACAUCGAAAUAAGAUCCAACAUGAAUAUUUUUAUUUUAAAAAAUCCAUAUUUCAAAUGUUCCAUUUUAGUAUUUGGAAUAUACUAAUUUAAUAAUUUAAUGUCGUAGUUCAAUAUUUCCAUUUUGAAUGUUGAACUAGUUAAUCCAAAAUCUUUGACUUAAAUUUUAUUGAUCGUUGAACCCAGUUUUUUUAAAAAAUGUUGAACUAUGUUUUGUUUUAUAGGUCCUUGAAGAAUGAAGAUGUUGUAUUAGAUUUUUCCUUGUGCUGGGCUAAUGGCUAUGGACCUUUUGUCUUUGGGGGCAAGCUGGGCUGUAGCCUGAUGUGAAGAAAAAUGGGAACAAAACAUGUGCUGCUACUACUUACAGCCCAUGCAGGUGAUCCUUGGGCCAUUUGCCUUCCUGGGCUUGGGCGACGCCCACAUAUUCACACGUAUCCCAUAUGUGGCUUGGUCCACCUUCAUGGGAACAGAGGUGGAUGGUAGGUGCUUCUUCAGUUCUUGACACCCCUCCACCAUACAUGUCUCAAUCUUUUCUUUUCCCCGUUAAUGACAAGUCAUGGGGUUUCUUCUUCCUCUGACACGACAGCAAGGAACGACUUUUGACUGAAUUAAAGCUCACGCGUAUGUGUCAUUAAUAAAGCCUAAUUGUGUCAUGUUCGACGCGACAUGCAGGUCAGGACCAUCGGAGAGAGGCCGGGUGACAGAGACGAUGGAACGCGGCUGCUUCUUUCCGCCUUGCUUGUUGCUUGCCCAACGUUAACCCACACACAAAGAUACUAGUAUUUGUUACCCUCCCGGAAAGAGAGAGAAAACAGGUCUUUUGUUACAGUGACAUGCAUAUCACAUAUAGCCUUUUUAUCUCACAUGCAAAAAUGUUACUACUUACCUUGUUGGGUACAGUACAAUAAUCCUGUUCCUUUCAAAUGUCAACAUCUUUUGUUUCUGUUUGAAGUGAAGCCAAGGGGGGUUUGGAAGGAAAGAGAAGGCGUGUGGAAAAGGCCGGGCCAUAGGAGUCAUGGGCACUACAUCUUGUUGGAUAUAGGAAGGAGGUUAGAAGGUAGUUGUCAGUGUCGGCGGAAAGAGUCAUUGGAGAUCCGACGAGACGACGAACCUCUCCUUCGCCUUCUUGCGUUGUGGCCGCCAGGAUCCAAGAAAAAGCGAUGUCCUGAUGCGUAGCUGUGCAGUACGUGUCUCGUUUCUUCUGGUAAUGUGUCUUCUAGAAGUAACUGCUAAGACUAGUAAUUUCACAAGGUUAUUACCAUCCGUAAAUUAUAACUAGGUAGCUAGAGAACUCCUAUAGAUGUGGUUUGUGACUGCAAAUUAUUGGGAGUUCUGCACCUUCCGGCCGGCCAUUCCUUCGUUUUAAAAUAUACGACAUUUAGAACAAGCUUAAAAGUUGUGUUUGAAAACAAUUGAGAUGAGGCUAGGGAGAACUUUUCUUGAAAAAUAGUAGAACGAUUUUGUCUUCUCCUUCCAUGCAAAUUUAUUCUUUUUACCGAAAUGUUUGCCGUUUUCCCUCAGCUCGAUCCAUCCUAGAAAAACAAGGAAAAUAGAAAAGAAAAUCUUAGCUGAUGUAUCCAUCUCCAUCUGGGAAUAAUGAAUGGAUUGUUGCGGCCGUACCGUACUCCUCCGCAACCGCCACUGCUGAGUGUGAUGUGUGAACGCAGUUGGGUCUCGUCGCGUCGCCUCCAUAUCCCAUCCACUUAGCCACGACAAUGGCAGCAAACCGCAUACCGCUGAAACCCAGAGCUACCAGGCAGCAACAUGUACAUGUACUACUGCCUUCUAAACUAUGAUACGAUAAGGCCUAGAGAAGAAAAUGUACCUUGAGAUGAGGAGGUCUACAUGGAUAUAAGUCUGAAUGUCUGAUUAUUAGUCUCUGGACUUCAUAACCAUUUAUAAACAACCAUCUUGAACUAUAUGCAAAUAAAGUCUGAGAGCAUCUCCAGAGAUGACAAGAAAGCAACUCAUGGAAUGACCUGGCGCAGCAGAUGAGUUGAUUCUUUCCCACUGUAAUGUAGAGCAACCGAAUCUUUCACAAUUCAAAAGUUCAACCCAAACCAUGAGUCUCAUGAACAUUAGUGGAGUAAAGAAGUAUAGACUAUUCUAGAUUAUAGUUAUAGUAGUAGAUUCCAAUAUCAUUUUGUGAGUGAGAUUAGUUAGGAUGCUUAGUAUAGGCACGUACUAGUGCUGAUACUUAGUGUAGGUCACCAGGUCUCAUGAUUACUGUAUAGGGUAAUUUUCUUGUUAUGGUAAAGUAUCAGUUAUAUUGCAUAUUAUUGUUAAUUUUCCUAGGGUUUACACCCAUUCACCACCGCUGAAAUGAAAAAAAAAACGAAGACACAAUGCCACAAAUGGCAUAAAAAUACACACAUAUGGAGUGGUACCAGAGACACGGAUCAAAUGACCCACAUCAAGAUGCCUAUCAUAUAUCACAGGGUCGAGACCCGUCUCCGAUGCUUACUCAUCAUAGAUGCGUAGAGCAUCAAUAAUCAAUGGGUCUUGUUUAAACAUGUAUGUGAUCUCGUUGUACAUGUAUCUCGACGAAAAUCGCUUGUAUUUAGUAGCCUCAAUUAUUAGAGAAAAUUACCGCCGCCUACUAGUGCCGUCACGUCACCACCAUCCGUCCAUCCUCCAUGUGCUCCUCAUCACCACUGUCCUCCCUCAUCAUCCUGCCCUGGAUCUCAUUGGCUAGGAAUUCAUUUUGCUUUCCCAUCACGUGCGUAAUAUGUACACUAGUCAAGAUGGUCUACUGUUCCUAAUUUCCUCCUGUUGGAGGGUCCAAUUUAGUUUGGUUCGCACAUCAACAAAUGACGCUAAACCUAGACUUAGGAAUGACAACGGCCAACAAAUAUCUGGACAUUUUAAAUAAAGUGAUCAAAGCUCAAUUUUUUACUCAUUGUUCUUGCUAGUUCUAAACCUAGCUCCCCCCACUAUAGUUCAAUUUUUCUGUUUAAAUUCAUUUAUUUUUUUUAAAUCAGUUCAUCAGUUUCCCAAACAUUUUCCAUCUUUUGGCAAGCCUAGAAUGUAAGCGCAGGUUACUAUCUUUAAAUUAACGAAACAUACCAACUGUAUUAUUUACCUUCUUCAUGAAUGAAAUAUUGAUGCACACUAUUGUGCAUAACAGCACAAAAUGUAAACAGUUUAUCACGGUUUUAUAUGUGUUCAAUGCCUAGUAAUUUUAUAAUAACCUGCCCGGUAAUUCUCUAAAAUAUAUUUAAAUGCACAUUUUACUAAUUUUUGAAGCUUUCUCCGGACUAAACCUGUGUUACGGAUCUACAAAAUGGGAUGCAAUGGAAGUUAGAACCAACUAUGCGGUGAGCCGGUGACCCUUUUAUUGGUGGAAGAGAAAUUGAAGUCCCAUGUGGAGGAGGACCUUGCCCGUUGGCCAGGUAAUAACUGAUGGCCACACACGUAGAGGAAAGACGUACUGUAUAGUACACCCCUAUUCAAUUACUUGGUCAUCAGAACAAUCCCUUGUUGUCAAAGCAAAAGAAAAAAAAAUGGAAUCAAAAGAUUGAAUCAUUGGGGCACGAAAGAAACUACCCUUGACUAAAUUGCACGCGUAUGCCAUUAAGGCUUAAUGGAGUCAAGUGAUGGAUCGAUCGAGGACGAAGUGUUAAUCACGGCACGGCUCUGCCUUCUGCAUAUCCGUUGAUCAAGGGCUAGCUCAAAGGCAAAAGAUGUAUGUAGAUCUCUCCUUUGCCAAAGUGAUUCGCAUGUGACAGACCAUGCGGUAGCCAAAGGAAGAAAUGAAAAGGAGGACAGGUGGACCUGCAGGGGCCCAUGCACGGCCUUUUUGCUAUCCGACGUGUACAAAGAAGAUCAGACUCAGCUCCAUCAAUACAAAGUUUCCUCCCCACCUAACCCUACAUCUCAUCCUUUUUGAAGCUCACCACUUGCUUGGGAGACCAGUGACAUAUGAUCUAACUCCUAUUGUUUGUGAUGAGAUCAACCUAAAAGAGGGCCAGCUCAAUCAAGUCUUGCAGUGGCCAAAUCUUCCAUCACAUCUAUUUUUUUUUUACUCGACUCACUUUUAAGCCAGAGAAGAUGAAUUGAUGGCUCGUUACUGUACAUGUACCUCAGUACCACUCUAUUGAAGCAGUGAAGAUGCCCGUAGCAGCAGUGAAAAAUUUCUACGUAGAAAUCAUUAAUUAUCCCUUGUUAAUGCGUUUUUAUCUACAACUUGGUAAAAUUUGCCUACAGUUUUCUGAUAUACACCACUGACAUAGUGACAUCAGCACACUCCCAUGACAGAAGGCAUUGCCUCUGCUUUCAUGCAUGUCAUCUCCUUGCUACUGGACAGAAGGAUAACACCAUUCCAGUCGAAUGAAUGUAGCAAAAACCUUCUUAAUUGAGCCCUACAUAUUAGUUUCAAAUUUAAAAAUUAUACAAGUUUUCUAACAUUUUAUUAUUUGUGUCCAUUUGCGAAAUGGAGUGAGGAAAGCAAAGAACAGCAAGGUUCAUGAUCGAAGAGAAGGGGAUAGGAGGGCCCAAAUUAAUAAUGAAGCUGUGCAUGCUAGCAGCAACAAUCCGGUGGUUGGAAGGUCGUUGUCAAGAUUGUCGAGUCGGUGGACGGAGCGGAUGGGUAAAGAUCCAACGAGAAAACGACAUCUCCGUCGGAGCAACGGAUGAAUCCAUGGAUCCGGCAAUCCGUACGCCUCCGGCCCCCGCCACGGGUGAGCUCGACGCGUGAACAUGGUCGGGUCGCCACCACACCCUGUCUUUCUUCAGUCCAUCCACGACUGUGGAUGCACAGCCACACGUCGUUGAUCCUAGAGCUAGCGAGCAGCGACAGCUACCUUUUCAAUUUGUGGCCGGCCGUAAAUCUAUGUAAAUGCAUGAAUAUGCAUGCAGGUAAAACUUUUGUGGUAAUAUAAUACCAGUACUUUUACGAGCCUCCUCGUCCCUUCCCUGGACUUCACUAGAACCGUCUAAACUCUACUCCCUCCGUUUCAAAUUGUAGGUCAUUUUGAAUUUUCUGGAUACAUAGUUUUUGAUAUGUAUCUAGACAUCAUAUAUAUCUAGGUGCAUAAUUAAAUCUAUGAAUAUAUAUAAGUCAAAACGUACAAUUUUGAACGGAUGGAAUGGAGUAGUAUUCAGCAAGGGUCUAGAGACUCUUUGUAUGGAGGUUCUCAAAGGAAGUUUUACUGCCCGGCUGGCAACCGAUGUGGACACUGUCGUGUUGCUCACGCAGCAAAUCAAAGUCACCCUCGCUGCUCUUGCACACACAAAAGCAACAGCAGAAAUUUGACCUUCUGCAAGCCUGCAACCCAUGCACCAUGUCACAGUGCCCUCUUCCUUGGGCGACCCUGGACUCCACUCCACAAAUGCAAGCCGGCCAUCUAUGACUGCUGUGCAGACCUGCAACAGAAAAAAAAAAUUGGCUCUUCGUCAUCAUCAGCGCAAAAUAUCUUCUUCUCGAAGCAAGGAGAGGAUCGGAAGAUGUAAAGAACAGUCGCUACCUAGCUGGUGGUCAUCAGAGGCAGGGCAUCACGUUGUCAAACGCAAGCUAGAUACUGGUGUACCAGAAGCUAACACGUACACGUCGGGUGUGAUAUGUGGUGACGACUCGCGCAGGGCAGCAUGUGCUGGAAGCAGAAAGCCUUACGCGCUAAAAAAGUAAAAGUGAAGAAAGCUACUACGUGCUGCUGCUACCCGCUGAAAAGUUAAUAACCCUAGCUAGCUGGUCAGUGUUCUCAAGAUUCGAUCGAGAGCUAUUUUGCUCUUCAGGCUCCUUUCCUCCGUUGAAUUGGAAUUGAAUGAAGCACGAUUCCUUAAUGUACUAGUACUAUUAUUUUUAGUUUCAGAGAAGAAAAGAAAAGAAAAAGUACAUGUAUUAAAUCCUACUAAAUAUUUCACUGUUAACUCUCUACUAACAUUUUGCUCAGGCAUUUUAGAAAAGAAAACCACCGUGUCUGUUCCUAUACUAAACAAUGCUUCAGGGGACGCUCUUCAGUUCUUGCACGUAUUUACAGCCACUCAAGCUUUACUAUAGCAGCCUUUUACAAAGUGCUUCGUACAUGCAUUUCAGUUGCAAAAACCACAGUAACAACCGUUCUUCAAUUUUGUCCGGGAAAAAGAGCUAAACAUUUCGCUCAGCAUUUAGCAGAGAAAAAAUCGUUUCAUUGCUCAGGCAUCGCCGCGACCCUCUUCAGAUUUAGCAAGCAUUUACAGCAAUCGGAGCUUUCCUUAGCAGCUUUUUACUAACAGCUUCGUUUAGACAUUUCAGUUGCAAAACACGCACACAGCACCCGUUGAAACUGCUACGCGCAGAAAGUAAAACUGAAAGUUACGUCCUACUGCUACCCGCUGAAAAACUAACCCUCGCUGGUUGCUGCGACCUACCAGCCGAUACGGCGGGGCCAAGCGUAUAAAGCAGCGAGGCAGGCAGCCAUACACGCGUCUCAAUAUCCUUGGCUCUCGCCGGCUAUAAAUCCAAGCCAGCACCAGCUCCAUUCAUCAGCACAGACACAACAGAGACCACUCGGUCACUAACGCUCUUCGGUUCCAAAGAGAGAGGGAAAGCAACACAGGCACACACAGAGAGAGAGAGCAAGCAAGAGUUCGUGGGAGCUGCAGCAAUGGCGACGCGUCGCCUCUCUUCCUGCUGCCUUCUGCUCGCCGUGCUCCUGGUGGCGGCGGCGGCGGCCACGGCCUUCGACGAGGCGGCGGCGGCUGCCGGCGUCGGGCUGGGUCACGGGGCGCGUUUCGCGCGAAAGCCUGGGCGUGCUGUCGCGGAGAUGCCUCAGCCGGAACCCAAACCUGAACCGAAACCAGAGCCCAUGCCACAUCCUGAGCCUAAACCUGAACCAAAGCCCAUGCCGGAGCCAAAGCCAAUGCCACAUCCAGAGCCGAAACCUGAGCCCAUGCCUCACCCUGAACCGAAACCUGAGCCAAAGCCCGAACCUAAGCCUGAGCCAAAACCCAUGCCCGAGCCAAAACCUGAACCAAAACCCAUGCCCGAGCCUAAGCCGGAACCUAAGCCUGAGCCAAAACCUGAACCAAAACCUAAGCCUGAGCCAAAACCUGAACCAAAACCUAAGCCUGAGCCAAAACCCAUGCCCGAGCCGAAACCUGAACCAAAACCCAUGCCCGAGCCUAAGCCUGAGCCAACACCCGUGCCCGAGCCAAAGCCGGAACCUAAGCCCGAGCCGAAACCCAUGCCCGAGCCAAAACCCAAGCCCGAGCCAAAGCCGGAACCCAAGCCCGAGCCAAAGCCGGAACCUAAGCCCAAGCCGGAACCCAAGCCCGAGCCAAAGCCGGAACCUAAGCCCGAGCCGAAACCCAAGCCCGAGCCAAAGCCGGAACCCAAGCCCGAGCCAAAGCCCGAACCGAAGCCAAAGCCGAAGCCGGAACCUAAACCCGAGCCCAAGCCUGAACCAGAGCCGAAGCCGUAUCCUAAGCCGGAACCAAAACCCAAGCCAGAACCUAAGCCAGAACCCAAGCCAGAACCUAAGCCCGAACCCAAGCCCAAACCCGAGCCCAAGCCUGAGCCCAAGCCGAAGCCAGACCCGCCGCACAUCCCUCCCGCAGCUGACAACUGACGAAGUGGCCGCUAGCUGUUUUGUAUGACGUUGCAGAGUAUGGUAGUAUCUGAAUAAAACCGGCUGGACCGGGAGUUGCAUCAUCUAGAUUGGUGCUCGCUGC
rnacentral:lncRNA from 1 species